GGUGUGCACGUGAUCCAGGUGUGCACGUGAUCCAGGUGUGCACAUGGAUUUGGACUCAGAGUCCAGCUGACUCGUGUCCUCUACUUCCUGGUCUCCAUGGUAACGGCUCCAUAAACCAGGUCAAUAAAUAAUCUGGACUUUAGAGUCAGGAGUUAUACUGACACACACACACACACACACACACACACACACACACACACACACCCUCUGUUCCAGCAGACCUGUCAGACUUUGUCCCGGCUGCAGGAAGUCCUGAGACUCUGUCACCUCACCCGAUGAGUCUGAGCUGGGAGGCCUGGGACCCAUGAGUGGACUGGAUUAACUUGUUCUGGUCCUUCAGGACCACUGAGACAUCUGGACUAACCCGAUCCAUUUGGUUCUGGUCCUUCAGGACCGCUGAGACCGCUGGACUAACUCGAUCCACUUGGUUCUGGUCCUUCAGGACCACUGAGACAUCUGGACUAACCCGAUCCAUUUGGUUCUGGUCCUUCAGGACUGCUGAGACAUCUGGACUAACCCGAUCCAUUUGGUUCUGGUCCUUCAGGACUGCUGAGACAUCUGGACUAACCCGAUCCAUUUGGUUCUGGUCCUUCAGGACCGCUGAGACCGCUGGACUAACUCAAUCCACUUGGUUCUGGUCCAACAUCAGAGGUUGAGGUCAGAACAAAGGUCCAAUUCUGCUGAUCUUCAUCAUGAGGUCUUCAUCAGAAACCUCAUCCCCGUCUUCUGGUCCUCCACGUCCUCAUGUGUCCAUCCAGAGUCCACAGCUUCAGGACGAGUUUCUGAAAGGUAGGGUUCUGAGAACAUCAGAAAAGGUUGGCGUCUUGGAGUCUUACUUCGUCCCCGCUGGACUCCCCCUGCAGCCCCUCAUCCCUGCUGGACUCCCCAGUCUGCCCCUCGUCCCCUGUGACCUCCUCCCUGGACUCCUCCCUCAGUCCGGCCCCCUCUCACUCCUCCUGCUCCCCAUCUCAGAGUCCCUCCUGGAGGUCUGGGGACAGUUUUAGCACUCCGCCUCUCUCCAGCCCUGAGCUCCUGUCAGAGUUGAGGAGCAGCAGGACACGCCCCCUCAGACACGUUCCCGCCAAAACCAGUCUGACCAGGGUCUUCUCUGGACGAGGACGCCAGAGCUCAGGCUCCUCCCCCUCCACCUGACCAGCCAAUCAGAGGCCUGCUUCACCUGUCACUCUCCACAGAMGGAUUCUACCUCCACGUCUGCUGAAACUGGACCAGUUGUAGCAGGAAGUGUCAGCUGACUGAGCCCCGCCCCCUCAUCAAGCUCCGCCCCUCUUUUGUUCUGAGUUUUAACAGCUUCUAAUCAAGAAACUCCUUUAAAACAAGAAAUAUUUAAAACACAUGAAAUAAAGUUUAAAAUAAAA